UAUCGAAGAGUAAGUUCUCCCUUCCGUAAUCAUCUUACCUCCACUGCUGAGGCAAAUAGGUUGCUGAAGU
rfam:Otolemur garnettii contig188588, whole genome shotgun sequence.